rnacentral:rRNA from 1 species
CUCUUUUCGUUUAUUUGAAAAGUAUAACCUGCCCACUGACUGAUUGUUAAAGGGCCGCGGUAAUUUGACCGUGCAAAGGUAGCAUAAUCAUUAGUCUCUUAAUUGGGGGCUGGAAUGAAUGGUUGGACGAGAUAUUGACUGUCUUUUAAUUUGAAUUAGAAUUUAAUUAUUAAGUAAGAAAGCUUAAAUUUAAUUAUGGGACGAGAAGACCCUAUAGAGUUUAAUAGUUUUAUUUAUAAUAAAUGUUUGAUUAUUAACUUAUAAAUAAAAUUUUUUUGUUGGGGUGAUGGGAAGAUAAUAUAAACUCUUUUUAUUGUUGAAUAUUUAUUUAUAGUUUUUUGAUCCAUUUAUAGUGAUUAUAAGACUAAAUUACCUUAGGGAUAACAGCGUAAUUUUUUUUGAGAGCUCAUAUCGACAAAAAAGAUUGCGA